rnacentral:rRNA from 1 species
UACGAAGGGGGGCUAGCGUUGUUCGGAAUUACUGGGCGUAAAGCGCGCGCAGGCGGCUAUCCAAGUCAGUGGUGAAAGCCCGGAGCUCAACUCCGGAACUGCCAUUGAAACUGUUUAGCUUGAGGAUGAGAGAGGUGAGUGGAAUUCCCCAGUGUAGAGGUGAAAUUCGUAGAUAUUGGGAAGAACACCAGUGGCGAAGGCGGCUGUCUGGUCCGGUUCUGACGCUGAGGCGCGAAAGCGUGGGGAGCAAACAGG